UUUGGUCGGUUCGGACACGUCCGCAGACACCAAACGGACAGAACCUUCCCUGUCCGCCUAAGGCUCAACAACAAUAACAACAUGUAUAAUAAAUUCGCCCAGGAUGAAUUUCAUUAUAUAUGGCUUGCACAAGGGCAAGCAACAUUCACCAGUGAAAGUAAACUAACUAUACAUACAUUCAUUGUAUCUUGCAAUCUUUAAACAAAAUACAAAGAGUAAUAUUUUAUUACAUUCAUUCUCCCAAAAUUUCAUCCCGUGUUCGUCCAAGUCCAUACAUUACAUGUCCAUUUACAUUACACUUUUCAUCGUAUACCAAAGAUGAAAGUAAAUUGGGUACAAGCUAAACUCGGGGAAGCCCACUAUCUAGCGCGCGACGCCCUUGCCGCGAUUCUCGACCGCCCCGCUCGCGCUAGGAUCUGUAAGAUUAAUGGUGUGAGAACUAAUGAAAGUUUCUAGUGGGUUUGGCCACCAACGUCGCCGACUCACCCACUAGGUCUACUCAAGCAUAUGUAGAAAGAAAGAACAGAUAAGUAACCAAACUAAUGCUACUAUAAUACCUGUACAAAACAGAAUAGAGAUAGUAUACUCAUGAUGCAUGGAGUUCCAUUUUACCUCUAUCCAAUCCACUUGGUUAACCAUUUGGUUAAACCCAACUCACCAAACCAAAUCUCUUUUGUCGGGGAGAAUACCGCUACCACCCGACAGGACCGUCUGCUGGGGAGAAUUCCGUUACCGACCCAGUUGAUGACACUCCGGAGCUUACCGCUCGAGAUGGAGUGACCUACCUCAAGCAUUUAGAGUACCUGUGAGUAUGAUCCAAUCCUCACUUGGAGGAUACCAUGCCACAAUUGCCACAAGUUUAUAUAGUUUAUCCUUGUCUAGCAAUUAUUCUUUUGCUGCUAUUCAUUCCCAACGGACUUUAUGUCACCUUGUUUUCUAUUGUCAUGGUCAAGCACAUGGUCACACAUCUGUAGGGUUCUAUGUCAUGGUCCAUUAGAGGUUCACAUGUUUUCUACUUUGUAAGCACAUAAGUUUACCCACAUCUUAGCCACAUAAUGACAUCAACCCUAUAAUGCAUGAAUGUCAACUAUACAUAUACAUAUAUGCUCAACAAGGGACAUAGACAUAAUGAAGGAUUCGAAGAUUUCGGAUAGCACCACCCACCUUGUUGUGAUCGAUGCCGGAGCGCGAGAAACCACUUCUCGCAAUUUAUAGACGUCCGCUCCUCUCGACCCACGACAAACGAAGCCGAAAUGAGGAUUUUCCUCAAUAGCUCGACGUAGACUCGUCGGAACUUCGAUCCGAGCCUCCCAACGCGUCGGUUUACACUUCAAUUAGAACUACAAGAGAUCAAAUCCAUGUUAGAACUGUCAUUUUACAAAACCCCAUUUUUACCUCUAGGGUUUAUACAUGAUACCCCAAAACAUAAUUUUUCUAUGAUUCCAUAGCAUAAACAAGCUCUAAGAAAUCCAAGAAACUUAAAAACCAACAAAUUAGGGAAUUUAAACCAAACCCUAUUCAAAAAAUGCAUGAAACCUACCUUAGGUUCUUGCUCCACGAAAUCCUCCUUGCCCUUUAGCUCCUUUUCUACCAAAAUCACCAAAUCUUUGCUUCAAAUCUCCUUCUCCAAAGCCUCCAAAUGAAGGGCUCCUAGAGAAAGAAGGUAGAGGAGAUGAGGAGGAGGAAGAAACGAGGUUUCCUUUGCAUGUAAUUAACAGGUGUAAGGUUGAGGGUUUUAUAUAGGCCGAGACAAUUGCAAAUAAGCCCAUCACAAAAGCCAUCAUCAACUAUUACAACUUAGUCCCUUGUUGCCUUGGUACCGGUACACGACUCCAGUAUCGGUACUCGACCAGCUUGGUACCAGCACUAGAUCACAAUACCAGUACACGAUCUCUUACAGUCCGGAUCCCGAGAGCUGUACCAACACACUCUAUUUGGGUACAGGUACCGCAUUGCUCUGGUAUCGGUACUCAAUGCUUCUGCUACAGUUUCACAGCAGCAGUACUCCGGGGUUUUUUUUUUUCACUUUCGGUUUGCGCCUAAAACACUUAACCAACCCCGAAGCUCACUUCUAACCAUCGCGCACCUCCAAAGCAGCUCAAGGACGCCACAUAACACACUCUUGCCUCACUUUGACCUAUUCGGUCAAAGUUAGCGUCGUAACUCGGAGACUUUGACCCAUUCGGUCAAAGUUAGCGUCAUAACUCGGAGAUUCGGUAUAUUACACUUGCAACUUUAGAAGAAAGUGGAUAGAGUGAUGUUCCUGAACUAAGGCAUCGAAGAAGCUCCAUCCCGAUUUUCUUGUCCUUCACAGAAAACUCAAAAGAGUCAAACUCAAAAAGAGAAUUAUUAUCAUGACAGAACUGGCGUAUGGAAAGUAAAUUUGUAGUGUCCCUAGGGUUUAGUUGACGGAAUGACUACAGUAUCAGCGACUAGUCACAUAUCUGUGGAGUGUCGGGACGAGUCAGAGUCAUUUUAGCGUGAACGGACUCGACACACUCAAAUAAGCCAAAACUGAAGUUUUGGCAGUUUAGGGCGCCCAAAAAUAGUUUAGGAUGCCCAGAUCCUAAGUGUUGUUUUAUAUUAGAUGCUGGAGUCAUUUCGGACCCUGUUUACGGUGCCCGAAAGUUGGGUCCGAAAGUUCACAUCAUGAAUAUCAAUCGUGUUGACACAUAGAUUGUGGUAGGUGAGAUCCGCCGGAACCGGAUAGCGGUGUAGCAGGCCGUCGAACAGAGGAACCGAGGUGCUGUUUGUGCAGGCUAGAAGUUAUGGGCACCUCGAACUGGGUUUAAGACGCCCGAAUCUUGGAUUUCCUAUAGUGAAACAGGUUUGCACUCUUUAUUCUUGAUGUAACACACUGGACCUCUGCAAAUUGCGAGGUUCGAGUGCUUGGAUGUGUUUUGAGCUUUCCACACUUGGUGGAGGGUCGUAGAAUGUUUUCCCGACCUAACAAGUUCGAAAACCUGAGUUUCGGUUUGGUCCUGAGAGUUUUUACUCGCGGGGACCGGUCCCUGGAAGGAGAGACGGGUCCCCCAGUGAGCAGUGUUGCGCUGUCGGCGAGGCAACCGGUCCUUGGUGGGCGAGACCGGUCCCCGAGCGUGUCUUCGCAGUGAGAGACCGGUCCCGCGCAGGGAGAGACCGGUUCCCGAACGUUGGUUCUCCGGGUUCGCAGCGAGAGACCGGUCCCUGCUGGGGAGAGACCGGUCCCUCUGGGCGAAAACUGCCCAAACCGGGCUGUUGUAAUUUUGGAUUUUUGGGGGACCUAGCUGGAUUUUGUUACAAUGGAGGGUCUAUAUGACCCAUCCACUCUCUCUUCUCCUCAUUUCUCUUCUCUCAACUCUCUCUACACCCUUGAUAGAGAAGAAGAAGAAGAAGAAGAAGAAGGAGAAGGAGAAGAAGGAAGGAAGAAGAAGAAGUUUGAGAGCUACUAGUGGACUUGGAGCAUCUUCCUCACCCUCUCUUCUUCCUUGGAGCUUGGAGGUUGAACUUGGAGCUUGUCAAAGAGGAGAUCUUCACCCUUGGAGCUUGGAUUGGAGCUUCUAAGGAGGUUUGUUGCCCUUUCUCUCCAUCUAGACUUUGGAUUUGAGGUUUUCUUGUGUUGGAACCGUAGGAUGAGAUUUUAGGGUUGAUUUUGGGGCUUUUUGAUCUAGGGCUUUUGGAGCUUGAUCACUUGGAUUAGAGCCUUCCUUUGGGUUGGAUUGGAAGGGAUUUAGCUCUAUUUUGGAGCUUAGGAAGAGAUUUUGCACUAGAGGUGAGUUUUAACUCUAUUUUUUGAGAUGGUUAAUGUUUGAUCCUAUAGUUGAUCGUAAUGCCCAUGUAUCUCUUCGCUCAAUACUUUUAGGGUAUUUUGAGACUCGUGGACAAAUUCGUUCGGCGAAUCGAAGGAGCACGCGACGGUUCGGUGGGUUUGACCUAGCCACAUAAUGAAAAAUUCUCAUUUGUGAUGAAUUAAGUAUCAUUAAUUGAAAAAGCAUGCAUAUUCUUGUUAUAUGUAUUUAUUGUGAAUUUUAGAAUGCUUAAAAUGCCUAUGUUGCAUAUAGUAAAAUUUUGGGCCUCUAUGUAGUAGAGAGCAUGCAUGUGUGACAUAGCAUUCUGAUUGAGACUGAAACUGAGAUCCCUAUUAUGAAAAUGGACCUUGCUUUCAUGCAUUUAGCUUAUUUGCCACUUGUGACAUUAGGGAUUUUCGGAAGCCUAGAGAGGCUUGAGGACUUAGACUAUUUGAGAGAUUGGGCCAAUGUCAUAAAGAGGCAUUGGGCCCGGGCUAAAGUGAACCUAGCUAGUAUUGUUUUAAUGGAAAUAUGGAACAUGAAUUGGGCAUGAUUAGUUGUGGUGCUUAAGUGUCAUAAAGAGGCACUAAGCAAGUGUGUGCGUUGGAGCGUCACUUGGAGACUUUGGACUAGAUCCUUGGGAUGCUAGUGACCUUGCCAUGUGAGAGGCAUGAGAGUAGAGUACUUGAGACUUUGACCUUGCUUGCUUGCCAUUUGUGCUCAUUCGCACAUGCUUGUGAGGGUCGCUCCCUACAAGCCGGCACUCCGGAGUUAGCCUACGCGACUUAUGUUCACUCGUGCGGUAUUGAGAAGCCUACUGGGUCGAGUGGGACAGACACAUUCUAAGAGUAGGGAUGUUGGGCUACCACAGGCACUUAGGCGGCACAAGCUGGACUACCUUUGGUAGGUCCUUAGUGGGAAAUGGAAAUCGACACGGGGUGAGUUUGUUAUAAUCACUACUAAAUAGAGAGUAGUAGUUGGAUUACUCAGACUUGCUUCUAGUAUAGAUUUGGACUUUGGGUAUACAUACAUACAUGUUGUAUGCUAGGAGACAUUGCUUAAUUGCAUUCAUAUAAACAAUGUUGCUAUGAUAAGGAAAAAUCCUCAUAAUUUCAUUAAGCAAACCAUGAUAUUAUUUGUGGCUAAGUAGAGACAUCCUUCAUGACAAGAUAAUUGUGCAUUACAUAAAUGCCAUGUUUAAUUGCAAGUAAUAUUUUAGCAUUUUCAUUAUGCUUUCAUAGUUGCAAAUUACUCGUUAUUGCUAUUGCUUUUGACUUACCCUUUUCUUUUGGGCCUAGUGGUGCAAUGAGCUGAGGUCAGUAAUUGCCCACUGGGAACUAUAAAUUAUAGUUCUCACGCCCUCUGUUUUAUGUUUUCUUUCAGAGCCUUCCACGCCGGGAGAGGCUAGGGACCGUGGGAAGGGAGUUGCUUCGAGCUAGCUUCCUUCGAGGACGAUUUGAUAGGUGGUCUACCUCUCGUGGUUUUAUUUUGUGAGAGGUUGUGAGUUGUACCCGUUUAUGUAUAGAGACCACCCUUCUUUUGGAUCUUUGUUUUUCUUUUUGAGGAGAUAGUAUUGUACUACUUUAUGGCUACUUUUUAUUGUUCAGUUAUGUUUCUUUUACUCUGGUUUAGAUGAUAGAACUUUACUCGCUCUGAUAUCAUUAGUUAUCACUAUGCUAUUUGUUCUACUUCUUGCUUUACUUCCGCUUUUGUUGUAGACGCCUUAUAUGUGUAGACAUAUGGCGGGUCUGGGCGCGCUACCGGGAGGGCCUUUGCCGGUCUCGGGGCGUGACACUUGAGGCCUAUUGUACCCAACCUAUGAAAGAUUUGAGGAGCCCAAGGAUCUAUCUAGAUUGUAUCUAUCACCUAGAGAGGGGUGACUAGGUGUAGCGGCCAAAAACCACAAAUCUCGAUGCAAUAAAAAUAAAUGCGAAAAAUAAAAAGCACACCGAGAUUUACGUGGGAAAACUCCAACUUGGAGAAAAACCCAUUGGACCAAUACGCGAAAAAAUAAUUCACUAAGAGAAAAGAUUACAAGGUGAUUACCGACUCCACGGACUCAACCUCUCUUAACCUCCUAUGAAUCUUCGCGCUACCCUCCGGGUUGUCCACGCCCUCACGUUCGAAUCCACGAAUGCCUCCACUUCGAAUCCACGAAACUUCAAUCACGCCGAAUCCAUGACGUCACUCGAAUCCACGAGCCAACGAUCCGAAUCCACGAACCACCUUUGUUCACGCCGAAUCCACGACGCCGUUCAUGAAGAGCAUCAUGAUUAUGGUGAUCCUUCGCUUAGGAGUAUCAUAGAAAACCAAGGAAUAGAACUCCAAGCGAAUACUAGAUCAAAUCGACUUAUAGUGAAUGCGAAACGUUAUCUCGAUUUGAUCUAAAGACGCUAAUUUGUAGAAAAUAGGUUUAGAAUGAAAUACUAGCCUCUAGGGUUUCUCAAACAUGUAUUCUUAUAAUGCUUAAACAGAUAGAGAACCCCAAUAGCUUAUUUAUAGACUUUAGAAUCAAAACGGAGUAGGAUUAAAAGGUUUCUUUCCAAAAUCAGCACCUUGUACCGGAAUAAGGAAAGCUGUCCAGGGUACAGCAUGACGGAAGAUUUUUCUACGAAGCUUCUAUACCCUGGAUAGGCUACAGCUUGUACCGGAACAGGGCUUGUACCGGUAUAGCAAUGAUGGUUGUACUGGAACAACCAUCAAACUUUUCUGCAGCAAAAGCUGAUGUCUGUACCGGAACAGAAAAUCCUUGUACAGGUACAACAAUGCAAUUUUCGCUGAAAAUGCAUUGUUUCGAGUUUUACAAGCUCUUAGAAACUUUCUAAUCAAUUACAACUUGAAAACAUAAUUCUAAAAUCUAUAAUUAAGUAUGAAUCACCAUAAACAAGAUUUAAAGCUUACCUAAGCAUCGUGAUUCAUGUUUUGCGUGUUUUGCGUCCUUUCCGAUUCUUCGAAGUCUUGGAUUCUUCGAUCUUCAAUACUCCGCUCCGGACUUCUUCAAGACUCCGACUCGACCCACGAAACUUGCCAACACAUAGGACCUAACAAUCUCCCCCUUUGGCAAUUUCGUGACAAAACACACACAAACUCAACAAUUACAUUGUAAAAAGAAAACGAAAUUCAAUUGUCAUCACCAAAACAUUGAACUCCUCACGUGUAGUCCAAAUACAAAUUGAGAAUCAAAACUACAUUUAAAACUCCUAAAACAGACUCUAUGACUUAGACGCAACUAGGAGUCUUGAAGUCUUGAUUUCCUUCUCCCCCUAUGUUCAUAUCUCCACCUUUGUUUUUGAACUCAUCAUCCUCUGCUUUAGUUCAAUGCCUGUUCAUCCAUGCUUGCCUGUUCAUCCACGCUCUCCCCCUUCAUCUACGCUCUCCCCCUUUUUGUCAAAAAUUGCCAAAAUAAAGCAAAUAGAGAGAGAAAACAUACUAGAAAGCACAAGAGUAGUCUAGUCACAGUUACAGGCCUAAAACAAAAGUAAAAACAUACCACUGAAAGAUAAGCAAGCAAAUCUAAAACAUCGUCCUAAACAGCAAAUGCAGUGAAAGAGAGAGAUUAAGCUCAAUGAAGAAAUCACUCCGUGUCCUCGUCACCAUCAUCAUCAUCUCCAGCACCAGCUCCAGAACCCCCAGCCUCAAAAGCAUCACCAGACAGUGGAAUGAGAGGAUGUCGUGAAGAUGACCGCUGAUACGAGGCAGAAGAUGGAGUAAGUUCCCAAAUAUCAUCAUGUCGACACCCCAUCUUAUCCAUCAAUCUUUUGAUACUUAAUUCAAACUUUUUGAUGCUGGACUCAACUUUCCUUCCAAUGUUGUUCACCUUCUUCUUUAAUUUUCGCAAAUCAUCCUUAACUGAUUCCAAUGUCGUCGCUCCCCCCGAACUAGAUGAAGUAUCAUAACUCCCUCGGGAUGGAGGCGGAGGAGCAGAGCUAGAAGCUGCUCUCGGUGGAGGUGCUGGGCUAGAUGCUUCAGGAGGUGGCCCUUUGAUCUGAUGGAAUGACUUGAGAGUGCUAACCGACUUAGCCCAAGUCACUGAGUCAAUAGGCCCAAGGCCAACAUCAUACUUGUCACAAGAUGUAUCUACUCCAUUUGCUUGAAGAAUCCUCGUAAUCAUUACAGGGAAUGGAAGUAGAUCCCGUCGAGUGGCACCCUGAAUCACGUGUAUCAUCCUUUGCCAGAUCAGAAAUGGAAUGUUGAUGUUCAAUCCAUGAGCCUGCUCGGGAUGACCAAGUAGAUAUAGCAACACUAAUCUCUCCCAACGGAUCCUCUUUGUGCCAAUGGUGGGUUGAACAUUAUAGCUCAUAAUCAAGGAUAGCAAGUGAUACUCAGGUAAUAAAUCCUUGGAUUCAAUGUAACCAUGAGUCAUGUAAACACCGGCUUUGCAUAUAGCUCCAAGAAUGAUAUCCAUGUGAGUUGAUGCUUGGAAUCCUCCUGACGUAUAGAGAAGACCUGUAGUGUCCACAUGCAUUCCCAAGAUCUCUCCAAUAUCAUAGGUGGCAACUGGGAAUCUCUUCUUUCGCACAAUAGUCUCAAAAAUAAAAGUACCUGUUUCAUCACCUUCAGCAAGUACCUUUCUAUUCAUAUAGAACUCCCGAAUGAGUUCUACACAGAAAGGAGCCUUGGCCGGGACCCGUCCAACUGGCUCAAUAGGUGCACGCUGUAGCAGUCGACCAAAAUCAGGAACAUCCCGAACCAGAUCAUUAAAGUUCACAAAAUGUUCAGCUAUGCACGACUUCGAUGCAAACAACCUUUGCCGUGCUGGAGGGACAUACGCAGCUUGUUUUGUACGUCCCUCACGAGUACGAGAACCACCACCAUGAGAUGAUUCACCAGCUAUUCCUUUGCCUUUGUCAAGUCGAGCAAUAGGUUCUUCAGGUUCUUCCGGGGAGCUCGCCUGAUAAUCCGGAUCAGACCCGGACGCUUCUUCAGUUGUGCAUGUCCUUUUAGAAACCCCAUGACGACCUCUACCACCACCACGACUCCGUCUCCCAGCCAUUAGCACCAACAACACCAAUACGAGCAAAAACGCCAUUUUCCUAUAUCAAAAAAUUGCAUACAUGAACAAAAUUUUUGAAAAAAAAUCUGUAAAAAUAGCAAAAAAAUUUCUAAAUACAUUAGAAUGCAUACAAAUGCUAUUUCUAACCAGAUCAUGCAAAAAAUUUCAGCAAAAAUCGAACUUUUUGAAAAAUCCCAAAAUUACAUACAUAUUAGAGCAUAAAUCUUAGAUCAGCGAAAAAUAACAUGUUUUGAUAUUGUUCAAGUGUUCUACAAGUAAGGUAAUGCCUAAGACACUGAUCUAUAGCAAAAAAUUGCAUCAAAAACGGAUUAGAACAGAGAUCAAACCCUAUUCCCGCAAAAAUAAGAAAAAUAGCAAAACCGGGAUAAAAACUCACAAAUUGAUGCAAACCACUUACAAAUCCAAGAGGAAAACGUGUAGAACGGUUGAAGAAGAGUCGCUGGAGCUCUCAGGAACAAAAAUUUUCGAAAAAGGUUGAGAUUUGAGAGAGAUCGAAGUGUUAUACCUGGUUAUAUUCCGCUCGGGUACAGACCUUGUACCGGUACACGGGUUCUUGUUCUGGUACAAGGACCAAAAUGUGAAAAAAAAUUUUUGAAAAUUAUGCUUUAAAAAUCCAUCACAUUUAAAUUAAAUUCAUAUAAUUGAGGCUUUUACUCCAAAAAUCAUUAUAAUGAAAAUAAGAUAUUAUAAAAUUUCAAAACACAUCGAAACAUCAAAAUUUCAAUAUCAAAUUUAAUGAUUCAAAACCAUCAAGAUGUAAGUUGAUGAAAAAUAAUUUUUUUAGAAAUUCAACAAAAUUGACACCAAUUUGUCGCAACACAUUCAAAAUAGAGAUUUAACUAAUAUGGCACUAGGGGUGGUCUUUGAGCAUCUUUUUCAAACUAGCACCUUAUUACUCCGAAAAUUUUAAUAUUUAUAAACUUUUUCCAACAUUUUCGGCUUUUCAAUUAAUUUCCAUGUGGUAGCUUCACACACUUGCCAGACGACCGGAGUGGUAGCUCUUUCCUACAUGUGGUGGUAGUUUUCACACUCCUUUUAGGAUGUAACUCUUUCCACAUCUUUUAAACAUAGGAGUAUUUUUCUUUUUUUUUAAAUAAUAUCAAACUCCCCCUAAAUUAGACAAUCUCACAAUUGAAAAUAAUUUUGACGAAUUUUAGUCAAUUUGAGAAUAUCCAUCCAUCAUAUCCAACACACACAACCAAGAUGAAUUAAGCAUCAAGAGAUCAAAUUUGAUUUCUAAAUUUUGAUGAAUAUAUGUAUUAAGAAAUCAUAUAUUAGAUUAUCGUCAAAAUAAUAAAAAGUGGAGUAAAAACGAUAAUUACUAUGAAUUUAACUUAAUCUGAUUGUGAAGUUAAACACCGUUUAAACAGCUUUGAAAAAACAAUUUCUCUCUCCAAAAUUAUGGAUCUCAAUCAUCUCUUUUCUCGAAAAUUUUGAAUUCCUAAACACCUUUCCUCAAAAUGAUUUUUAAAUAAACAAAAAUUCAAUGCACCAAAAAUCAUUUAAACAUGUAAUGCAAUGAAUAAAAUUAUGCAACAAGCAUCUAUCAAAGCAUUACACUAAAAAUCAGAAAUGACUAAGACGAGGAGUAAGGAAAGAUAUCACCUUUCCGGAUCCAAACUUGUCGAAUCUUUGGUUUUCUUGGCUUGUCGACGUUUGAUGUCAUUAGCUUAGAUUUUAGAUCAACCGUUGGUGGUUUCUUCAGUUGAGGCUUCGGUUGAAUUUGUCGUUGAGGCUUAUGCACUCGAUUUGCAUGAACUUGGCGUUGUGCAUUAGAAGUCCGGUUCUUUUGAGGUACUCGACUAACUUGAUUUUUCUUAUGAUUCCGCGGGGGAAGUCGAGUUGUAGAUGAUGCCGUUUGAGGUUUAGACAUUGCCGAUUGAUUCUUCUUUUCCUUAUUUGGGCAAUUCCUUUUAAUGUGUCCUUUCUUGCCACAUUUAUGACACACUUUCUCUUUCGAAGUUGUUGAGACUUUAAAAGUUGAAUUUAAAUCCUUCUCAACGUAUGUCCGUUCAUAUCCGAGUCCAAGCUUGUUCGUUUGACCCAAUCCAAGCAUAUGAUCUAGUUUCUUUGAUCCGGAAGAAAAUCGUUGAAUGUCGGAUUGAAGUUGACGAACUUGAUUGGUCAGUGACUUGUUGGAUGUGUGCGAUUCCUCGAAUUGUUGCUCCAAAAAUCCAACCUUGUCUUUAUAUGAUUUGAUCGUUGAUUCCGCUUCAUUAAGCUUCUCUUGGAGGUCCGAAAUAUUCUUCAAGCUUGAAUCACUUUCUUCCUCAAGAGCCUUAUUCAAAGUCUUUGCGUUGUUGUUUUCCUCCUCAAGAUCCAACAAACGACGUCUCAACUUCUUAUUCAAUUUAGCCAUCUUCUUUGAUUCAAUGAAAAGUUGAUUGUACGCUUCCGCUAUAUCGUCGUCGUUUGAUUCCUCCUCACUUUCGCCAUUGUUACUCGAAGAAUCAUGUGAAGAAAAAGAAUUGUUGGAAUUUGUAGCAAUUGAGGAUGGACACACAACGUUAGACGAAGGUAAGGUAGAUGUAGCAAAUAAAGCAAGAUUUCCAUUCUUUUCUUCGUCACUUGAGCUUGAAUCGCUUGAAGUUGCAUCAUCCCACGUCUUUACUUGCAAAGCCUUCUUAGUGUAUGAUUUCUUUGAGGGACAAUCCGUUGCGAUGUGACCGUAGCCUUUGCACUUGAAGCAUCGGAUUUCGCCUUCAAAUUCGUCCUUUUCUUUCGAAGCCUUUGCCCGUUUCUUCUCUUUAGAUGUAGAAGAUUUAGAAAUCGUUUGUUGCUUAGAUGAUGUAGCCUUGUCCGAAUUGUUCUUCUUUCGGAAAUUCCGGCGAAACUUUUUCGUUUGAAGUGCAAGUUGAUGUUCGAAGUCGGCAAGUUAAAUCUCUCCGUCGGAAUUCGAAUCCUCAUCUUCCUCCUUCGUCGACUUUAAUGCAAUCCCUGUGCUUUUAGAGAAAGAGUUGGAAGAAGAUUAAUUAGUAGGAAAAGUCAUCUCAUACGUUUGUAAAGCGCCUACUAAUUCUUCGACUUUCAUCUCGUUCGGAUGCUUAACUGUUUCGAUCGCGGCAACCUUUGCCCGAAAGCGUUCCGGAAGAGUUCGAAGAAUUUUCUUAAUAACCUUUGAAUCCGGGAUUUUCUCUCCCAAGUUAGCACAUGUAUUCAGAACGUCUUGUAGACGCGUAUAGUACUCGGUAAAGGUCUCAUUUUCGUCCAUAGAAAUUGAAUCAAACUUGCUAGUUAGCAUUUGCAAUUUUUGGACCUUUACUAAGCUUGUUCCUUCAUGCGUAACUUGUAGAGUAUCCCAAAUUUCCUUUGCCGUUUCGCAUGCCGAAACNAUGAGCGUGACCGCUCAAUUUGUUGAUACAUGUAUUUGAGGUUUUGUUGUUGAUGGACGUCAUCACCUUUCGGAGAUCGAGACUGACAGCCCAUCCCGAGAUCGAACGUUGCGGGAACGGAGCUAGGACCAGCCGCCUUCUACGUCGUCGGCCGUGGACACCGAGACGUUUUGUCCUCAUUGUUGACCCGCACUCUUGAUGACAUUUUUGUCCAUCAGGAGUCACCCACGGCGGGUUUUGUUGUAGCCAGAUGGGUGAUUCAGAUGUCUUCCCUCGUUUUUAUCAUCCUUUUCGUCCUUCAUGUGAGAUGGCGAUAGUUAGUGAUGUGAUAGUACGAGAUGUGAUUGGUUGACAUCCUUUACAGUUUAGACUGGGUUAGGUUAGCCCUGACAUUUGUAUGGGCAGGGACCCUGACACUUAUGUGGGCAGGGACGGGGCAACGCUGAUAGGUCGAUGGGGGUGUGAUUGAGCAGACACCUCUCGUUCAGGUUGGCCGUACUCGCUGUGGUUGCGCUUUCGUGUUUCGGACUGAAGCCUCACCGUGAGCACCCGCGAUGGGUUGGCUCAUACGUCGCAUAGAGACAGCUCGAGUUAGUCCGAGGUUGAUCGGUUUCAGUUCAUUAGCUGAGUUUGACUAGAUUGUUGGUUGUCCAUUGCACGGGAGCCGUGUCAGACUGCGGUUUUUCCGCUAUGCCCAGGUGGCAGUUGAGACUGCCGUGGGUUGUCAGGCUUUGUUGGACUUGCUGGGACAUUUUUAGGUGAGCCGCUUGGUCAUACUCACAUUUAUGUAAGAUCUGAUGGACCUCAUGAGCAGAGCUUCUUUAACGCUGUCAUGUUAAAAGAUUGCCGAGGAUCUCGAUUUAGUCCGUCAAAUAUGUCCACUGUCCAGAUUUAGCGUCCAAAAGAGGAUUAAGUUAAAAGUUCAGGUUGUACAUAUUAGAUGAAUUAAAUAUUUUGUACGAGGUUUUAAGUCUAAAGUGUUAGAUGUUAAUUAGGUACUUAAACUCGAUUGUAAUUAAUGGCUUUAGUUUUAGAUAUGUACAGCUGGUUAUUCUUGAAUCCUCAUUUCGGCUACAUUGGGUGGAGCGUGCGUUUAGGGGCCGUCGCUUUGUGAGAGUGUCGACACCGAGGUGGACGACCCAGCUAGCAUCAUGAAGCUAGAGUUCUUAGCGCGAUUGAGGUUCGAGAUGUGGUUGGUUAGUGGCUAAGUCAGGUCUUAAACGUCGUCAUCUCAUCCUUACUCUAAGCUGGUUCGAUUGGAAGUGGUUUAGACCUUUCACUCCCGAAGCACCUAAGGAGAGCUUCAGGGCUUAGGUUGCUUGGUUCAGAGCAGCUUUAGGCUACGAGGAUGCAGCACAUGCUCGGUUUUGUGGCUGUCAGCUGCGUCUUUAGACGUCGUCAUCGUGGACUCGAGCUUUAACUACCUUAACUUCAUUAACCUCCUUACGGGUGACUAUUUCGUAAAGUUUUUUUUUUUUUAAUGGAAUCUUGGUCGUGCUGUAGUUCCUACCGCUUUUCGGCGUGAGCGGGCCGGAGGAGCGUCGUUGUGCUGCAGCUUUUAUUCGAGCUCGCUGAGGCGCCGUGCGGCAGCUGCCGCUUAGGCUCGAAGCGCCGAUGGAGAUGCGCCGAGCAGGCGAAGCCGAGAGGUGAGGUGUGCUUUCUCUCUUUCUUUUUGAUUAAUCUCUCCAAAUCCAACGAAGGGAAUUAAUUUACGUACCUAUUGAUACGUACCCCCGUGCACCGUAGGUGGAUAUAUAUAUACAUAUAUGUACCCCGUACACCGUAGGUAUAUAUAUAUAUACCUACAUAUAAAUUUCCUAUGAUGUAGGAGGGGGUGAUGUUAUUCAAAGCAGGAGCUUUGAGUUUGUAUGGAAACGAGUCCGUAGUUUGUUUUUCCCUAUCCGGAGGGAGUAGUGGCAGAGUCUGAGGGUUCAGCGGAGGGCGAGUAGUACUAAUAAGGUGACGUGAAAGUGUAUGCCCUACUGGGCUGACGCGUUAAGAAAGCAGAGGGUUCGUUCUUAGGCGUUGCCAGCGAGGAGCAUAGAGUCUAGGAGCGGUUAGAGUUCACCUCACUUCAGUUAGUGUACUCUCCCUAGCUUUUGCAUAGAGGAGUUACGACUCUGCACUUUUUGUAGUACCUACGGUCGUUCAGCGCCCCCAUCUCGAUAGGACAUUCGGUGGCCAGGCUAUGCGAGGUUAUGGAGCUUUCCCGGUUGUUUUGCACCUGAUUCGAAGGGUGCAUGAGGUUUAGCCGCAUAGGGAGACCUGCCGCUCUGAAACUCUUUUUGUACUAGAGGUUGGACUUUGAGGUUCAGAGCAGAGGACCAUAGCCGCAUCGAGGAGACAGCCGAGACACGACAGUUUUCCACAGCAGCUUGCUGAGAGUGGAAAAGGAGUCGGAGUUCAUCUUAGAGACCAGGUUCACAGAAGGCGAGUGGGUGUAGUGAGGUUUUAUCCCCCCUAGCUGUAGACGCAGGUAUGUUGCGGAGUUUGCCUCGAUAGAUCUACGAGCGAACUAUCGACAACAACAUGCGUUUGAGUUGGUCAGAGUUUACAGCUAUGGUGGUAGGAGGUUUCAGAUCCUGUGUACGGGAGUCGUACAGGAGAUCUCAGACUUACCAGGCGAGACUGACUGCUAGACAGACACCCACUUUGCGGCACGAUUUUACAUCGACACAUAGCUUUCGCCAGACUUCUGAGGAGGUUUUGACCCUAUGUUUGGAGCCCAGAGACAGACUAUGUUAGCUGUGACCGUACGGCACGUCGGAUUGCUAGAGUAGGUUCAUAUCGACGCGUUCAGAGAGGGACCUGGUCCAUCAGACUUGGCCAUCCUUCACUCGUCUGAACCAGUCAGACAGGUGAUAGUGGGUUUAGCGCAGCAUCGGUGGGACGCGAGAUCCGUUAGGUUGCUGCUUCAGGUAGCACUACACGAGGGUGAAGGUGAGCCCUUGACCGUCUGAGACUUCGAACGGUCGUCCGUGGACUACGAGCCGGAAGUGGACAACCGUUCAGUUUGUGACUCGGUGUAUAGACGGUUACAGGGAGAAGUAAGGUCCGGUGGUCUUGACACGGAAUUCUAGGAAUAUGUAGAACCAAGGGGGUCCCACUUGGCAUAUACCCCUUGUUACUCGGAGAGAGUCUUAUAGGCGAGCUUGGAGGCCUAGGUGUCCGUGUGUGUCAGCCAGGGACAUGGCAUCAUGAGGGCUUGACAGGUUUCAUUUAGGGAGUCAGACGGGGGACAGAUCGACGAGAGAUUGGGAGUUGUUCACGCCUAGAGGUGAGACAAAGAGAGCCUAGGAUAGGUUGUCUCACCCGUCAUCAUGAUCUCUGUAGUGGGAGCGGCAUCUGGGUCCCCCAUGAUAGAGCUCAGGGUCGGCGACAUCGAGGAGCUCAUCCCCAGAGACGAGUCAUUAGGAGUUUGAGUCCGAGACGUGACUGAAGGACGAGUUGCGUAGACGGUGGUGUAAGCGGGACGGCCCUACUAUGACUUAUAAUUACAGUAUCAGGAAGUCAUUGAGGUUGGUGACCGCGACGGAGUCUAAGUCGAGGAAGACACACUUGUCUAUGAACUCUGAAACUACUAGCCACUUAUGGAGCGUCACGAGCGGCAUGUUCAUUACGGCGAUCUCGAAGUUUCGUUUUUGGUGGCGCCGUUCGAGGUUUAGUACGCAUCCCAUUAAGAAGAGUAUUAGGAAAUUGACGACACUUCGUAUUCGUUAGUGGGAUGGUACGACGUAGUCGUGCGUUGGUUCAGGUGACACGCUACGUAGUGACAUCUAGUGCUUAGGUAGGGGGUAGUGGCCUUCUCGUUCCUAUCCUCGGCUGCAGUUGGAGUCAGAGUUGAGCAGUUUCGAGGAGACUGUCAGUAGUGAGGUCUGUUUUGCUUAGGGGAGGGCGCAGUUCGCACACUCCCCACACCUUUCGAAGCGUUUCGGAAGGUGUUUGGCUGCCAUUAUAGGACGGUCAGGCUCCUUCGAGGCAUGGAGUCAGUGGCAGCAGUCAGAGCCGGUUAGGGCUUAGCGGAGUUAGAAGAAGCCCAGGUGACGAUGCGGGAGCCGACUUUAGUGCACCGGGUUCUUUCGCUGGAGGGCAUUGGUUUUGAGCGUGAAGAAAUUGAACCGUAUGUUGAAGAAGAGAGCGUCUUCGACAUCGUGUUAGGAGUUCACGAGGAGUACGAGUCGUAGCGAGGCCCUCAUUUAGUUCUAUAGUAGUUAUUUCUGAUGGUGUUUGGAUAGGUUCUUGCCGAACUUGUGAGACAAGUAGUUUAGGUACUUACGCCGUUCCCGUAAGCAGUUAGGUUUUCCGUAGUGGCAUUUGAGUAUUACGGGCAUGGCUCAAGCUUUUCGGCAGAACCCUUGUAGGAGCCGGGAAUGGGAGUCGACCACCAUUGGACUGACCUCUAGUUAGAAGCUCUUCUGUAUUCUAGGGACGUCGACUAGUUUGUUUAGUAGUUACGCGCCGUUCCCUAUGAAUAAGAACUACCAGUGAAAUAAGUCGAGGGCCAUUAGGUGUGUAUUGGACUCGCUUGGUAGGAAGAAGAAGUGUUUAUCGUGACCGCGAGGGGUUCCGCUGUGUGACCCAGAGUGUUUGGGAAAUAGGUAGUUUAGGACUUCGACACGGAAAUCGAGAGAGUCGAGACGGCCGGGGUAGGCUAUUCCAUGGAAACUCUAACCACGUCAAGGUCCUUGAUGUAGUUAGUGUUUGAGUUAGAGGGAGAGGUCGUCGUUGCAUCAGUUGAGUCCCCCUUUAUGUAGACCUUUGAGCGCCUGAUGACCCUACAGGAGUUCAGGGACGCGGCGGCAUCCAUGGAGGUGUUGUCAGCGAUCCUUUCGCUAUGUGGGCGAUGAGUCGUAGACAGCUCGGGAGCGGCUUCUAUAGGUCCACCGUUUAUCGCACGAGGACGUCGGAGACUUUCACUUGAGGAGGACUGAACCGAGCGCCUUGCAGUGGCAGGAGCGAGGUGUCAGCUAGCAUCGCAUCAUGGCGCGGUCGGUUAGGUAUGGCUCGUGCUGUAGCUUCAGGACGUCGACGGGAUUGUGGUUGUCCAGACGCCCGUACUGGGUGCUCAGGUUGACGUGGCCUGUGCUGGUUGUUGUGAGGCGUUGGUCAUUUUGUACCAGGCCCUAGACGUGGAGAGCACGAACACUGUUACGGGGAUUGAGAUCUAGUACGUUGUUACGUUUACGAGCCGAUUGUUUCUUUACGCUACGUGGUCAUAGCUUUUCUCACGCUUGAGAUUACGUUCUUUAGUUUCACUAUGGACGGUGGUGAGCCAGCCGACGACAUCUCAGGAGGUGGACUCGACGUAUCUGAGAUGGUGAGCUUCGGACGACAGCUGCGAGUGGGACAGCGCCGUACCUGCUGGAUAGGAGGACCGCCAUUGAGCCACGACGAGACAUUCAGACGACUCCACGACCACCUCGAUUUCGACUACUACCACGACCUCUACGACGAGCUCCUGUUCGACGGGAGUACACAGGGCCGACUGACCUUUUAUUUUGGAUUCUAGCUAUGUAUAUGAAACUCAGUUAUUUAGUUUUUUUGAGCAGCUCUAUGCUACUGUUUGUAGUAUCGUAUUUCUACAGGUACUUUGACGCUUCGUAUACAAGGGAAAUUUCUUUGUAUACGGCGGAUUUGUCGGCGUGCCCGGGGAACGAGAUAUCCGGGGCGUGACAUUUGUGACCCCACUCCACUAGUUUUAUAGGGUAGAAUUCUCUAAUUGUGCAAGAACUAGUAGAUUGCUUAAGUGCUAAAGUUCUGGAUGCCGGUUCUGGGCAUCUAGAAAUAGGUCCAAAUUGGUGUGAAGGCUUUUGGUGAUCAUUUCGAGCUCAAAUUUGGUGAGGAACCUGGGGAAUUAUUCUUAAGCAUCUAGAGGUGAGUUGGGUGAAGUUUCACUGCAUUUGGACUUCAGAAUUGGAUUAAAUCCUAUGUUGAACUCGUAUAAGUUGAAGCUGCCAGCUUGCUGUUCUGGACCCUGGAUCUGAGCGCCCAGAAGUGCUACAGAGUGGAUCCGAAUCUUGUUUUUUAGCUGGUUUGUUUUCGAUUGAGGCUAAUUUUGUGCAGAGCUUCUCCUAUCAACUUCUAGCCAUCGUUGGACUAACGUUUAAGGUGGGUUGAUGUUAUCCGAAGACUUCGAAAUUCCUCCUAUGUUUUUGAAACUCCAGCAUGUAUAGUUUUGCAUAUAAUCAUCCUAUUUAAUAGUUCAAAUUGUAGAUUUACAUGUUAUAGAUGAAAUCUAAGUUUUUGGGCAUGCUUAACUAAAUUAUAAUGAUUAUUAUCUACAGAACUUGGAUUUAACUUAGGAGAAAACUUAUUAAACUUACACUUGUCAUUUUCGAAAAGUUAACAGAUUUAGCUUCAGGAGCUGAUUUUUCUUUUAUAUCAUCGCUGUUAGUGCGUCGUUUUUACACCAAAAUUAGGCUGUUUUGUACUGUCGGGUACUGUCAAGACUGACAGUAGACCCAGAUUCUUACAUCCUGUAUUAGAUUGUGCCGAGAGCACGUGAGCCUUGGUUAUUAGACCAGUUUGACCCAUUUGUAUUGACUAUAGCCUGUGAGAGCCUGAUUGAGCUCGACAAAGACACGCUUGCAUAGUCGGUUGGGUCGCACCCACGUGUGCCGCUCCGGAGUGAGGCUUUUCUUGCGUUGAUGUCGCAGCAGUCCCAUUUAGGCGGUUUUAUUGGACCGGCCACCGCCGUGGGUGGUGUGCGGUGUAGUUUGAGUAUAGGCUGGACUGGCCCGUUAGCGGUCCGUUGAGAUUGGGUCAAUUGUGGCUGAUUUGUAGCUAGUGAUGCAUUUCUAUGUCUACAGAAGGCAUAGUUUGGAUAGCGGUAGUAUAGUAGCAUAUAGCUAUAGAGUUUCUUCCAGCUUAUUUUACUAUCCUUUUACCUAUCGAUUUAUUACUCGUAAUGUAAACUUAGUGGGUUAGCCGUUGGGGUCGGUGACGGUACUCACUGAGGACUACUCUGUUUUGUAGUAGUUCUCACACCCAUUGUUGCCACCUUUUUGCAGAGCUGUCCAUUGUUGCUGCUGUUUCUGAUCGAGAUAAAGGAGUCGGAAGCUAGAUCCCUAUCUUUCCCAAUCACUUUACUAGAGAAUACCCCUGCGUGAGAUAGUUUUGGGAUGUCGCCAUGUACAUACAAUUGUACUUUAUUUACUCUCUGAGAGGUCGUUGUAUUUUGGAACUUGUAUGUACAAUGGGCCUUUUUAGUUAUAUAUGUUGUUUCAGUUUUAGCAGCUCUGUAUUUCUUGUAGUACCUUUUAUCUGUGUGCAGGUUCAGCUAUCGCUUCGUAUACACAGAAAAUUUCUAUGUAUAUGGCGGGUCUGUUGGCGAGCCCGAGGAACGUGGUAAUCCGAGGCAUGACAAAAAUUUUCUUAAUAGAAGGAACAACAAGAACGUUUUUAAAAGCAAAGGAUUUAGAGGAGGAAUGCAACAGAGUUUCACCUGUCUGAGUAAUAUCAAGUAAAUUUUCAUUACCAAUAAGAAUUUUUUCAUGCCCUUUAUAAGGUUGAGAAGUUGAGAGAAUAUCAAAAGUUGUGGUCAUGUGAUUAGAUGCUCCGGUGUCUGGAGACCACACUUCCUCACCAAGUUCAUGAAGGUUCAUAGCAGCAAAGGUUUGAUGAACAUCAUCUGCAAGUGCUUCAAAUGUGGGCUGCCGGGCCAUGUGCGGGACGAGUGUCCGCAAGGUGAUAGCCAUGCCUUGACACAGGCGACGGCCUAUUCCUCUCCGGGACAGCCUGCAAGUGUGUCACCUGCGGCAUGGUCGGGGGAGUGGCCGUUGAGGACGAUGCAACCGGAGGGUUCGCGGCGAGCGCCAAGGGGCCAUGGAUAAGCGACCCGAGUUGCGGGGCCUGCUGUUGCUGACGACGUCGUGGCAGGUAUGAGUUAAUUGAGCAAGCAUGUGCUUUUGCAUGAUCUCAAGUUGGUGCAUGACAUUCAUUCGUCAUUGGUCAGUUGCUACUAUUAUUACAUUGCAUAGUAGGGACCGAGUGGUCGGGUUGGUAGACACCUGAGCAUGCUUGCAUUGUGAGAGUAUAGCACCUGCUGGAGCGGGAAGAAAGUCAAGUGACACUAGCAAAUGGUUGGUGAUGUUUCUUGGAUGAGAAAUAGGACUCGUGGCGAAUGUGACCUAGUAAAUGACUCUCGAAGCAAUGGAUAAGAGAUUGUGAGAGUUGAGCCUUGAUGUUUGGGGAUACCCGAAUAUUCCAAGAGUAUCUCGGAUACGGAUUCGGUAGAUCGAACAGUGAAGGUGAACCCCUGUUGCGAAAUUGGUUGAUUAGCGCCGAGUUUGGCCUGUGGGCCUAGUAGUGCCUUGAAUUGAGGUGGACGAGUUGUGCUCGUGUAGUCAGUGUGCAUAGGCAAGUUGCCUGAUGCGAGACUUCGUGUGAGACGCUGUAGAGGUAUAGAACGCUCGAGUAUAGAUACUCGUAGAGUGUUGUUUCGAUUCAGCCGGGUGAGUGAGUUGGCAGUAGCACUUUAGCAUAGCUAAGUGUGAAGCGAGCAAUGGAUCACUCGUGAGGCUGGUGGCUCGCACUAGGUGCCUAGGAGUCGUUAGAGUGUGUAGCUCUGUAGAGCAUGUUGUAUAGGACUACGACGGCAGGUAGCGCUUGGGGACGACCCGUGCCUUGACCAUUUGUGGACUGUGGAGCCUGGGCCCAUUGGGCAAGCGCAAUCAGCUGUGAGUGACAGCGGCCUGGUACCUAUUGGUAGGGCAGAGUGUUGGACAGGACGGUAGUCCAAGCUUGGCCCGGGUGCGUGGAAUGCCACGUGUUAGACCAUGAAAUUGAUGACACACCGAGUGUGUAGUUGUCACGCCCCGGGAACGAUACCAAUUUGGCCCGACCCGAGCACGUCAAACAGACGCCGAACGGACAGAGUUUCCCCUAUCCGCCCAAGGCUCAUCACAUGUACAAAUUCAAACAAGAAAUGCACUAGCGGAAACAUACACAAACGGCUUACGCGAGGGUAAGCAAUAGCCAUUAGCGAAAGAAAGAAAAACUAAACAUUUAUAAGUACUAUGAUUCAUUUUUGAUCAUAUACAUUGCAGUCAUCUUGUUCAUUUUCAAAUUCCUUACAUUUCAUUUCAUCAUUUCUUUCUUACAUCACAUUUACCUCAAAAUACACAUUACAUUCUUUUCUUUACAUCAUUUACCAUCAU
rnacentral:lncRNA from 1 species